AAAAGAAAUAGUGCUAUCAAACCUGGCUUAACGGUUGAGACAAAACUGGACACAUUAAAAAUACCAGAAGCUGGGACUCCUGGAAUUUCUUUUGAAGAUUUUUGUGUGUCUCAGACUCACAGCACAAGAAAAGUAAAGAAUUCCCAGCCUGUAGGCUGACAAAUUUAGCAGCCUUUCUCCAACAGUGGCCAGAAUCAGGUAAUUCGUUAGAAAGACCAAAGCAGUUUCUCCCCUAGACAUGAGAUAAUCUGCCUCCUCCAAGAAUUCUUCUAAUCACAGAGAAUUCUGCUGUUCGUCUUAGCAUUUGCAACUAUAACUUAUGAUAUUGUUGGUAUGUAUAGAAAUGCCCUGUUCUUCUUUGAACCUUUUGAAGUUUUCAGGGUCAUCUUUGACUUUGAGAACAACAGUGUAAUUACGUGAUUUAAGUUCAAUUAAGGUUGUGAAAAAUGUGUUUUCUCUUACAAUUUUUUGAAGUUGAUACCUUUUACCUUGACUGAUGGCAUCCACUAUGUGGUUUUUUUUUUGGUUUGUUUGUUUGUUUGUUUGUUUGUUUGUUCCCUGAUGUGACAAGAACAGCAAUUUCCUAUCUUGGAACAACAAAUUCCCAUAUUGGAAUUAUUCACUAAGUCUUUACUUUCUCCAUAAUCUUUCCUAUGCUCCUAUUCUCUUAAGGGUAAGGAUGCAUAUUUUUUUCUUUACCCUCUGUUCAGACAAGAGUUUCUGUUUUUUUUCAUGCUUCAUGACAAUUCUUUUUCCCUUUCAGAAUCCCCAAUACAGUACCUUUCUUGAGACAAGGUCAUCUUACAGCAGGUACUAUUCCAGAUUAAUACCUUAAUACACACCACUUAGAUAGAUGGCCUGUAUAAUGUUCUAAUAAGAUGGCUUAAUAUUAUUUCAUAAAUCAGUGUAAAUCUUGUUGCUUAAGAUCCAUCUGUUUUAUUCACUUAGCUGAACACUGAACACAUCUUUGCUAAGCUGUCUAGAAUUAUACCUGUGUCACUUGUAUGUUUAACUGAAAAACUUCAGCAAAUUACAUCAUCAUUGUUUUUUUUCCUUCUCCAGCAUCUACUCUUUUGUAUUUAUCAACACUGAUCUUCAUUCACUGUGUGGUUGUUCAGUCACCAAACUUGUUAAUGUAUUCACCUUUCUUCGCUUUUUCUAUUGCUUCCAGUCCAGCACAAAAGCCCUUCUCAAUUCACUGCACUCCUCUGAACUGCUGUUGGAGUCCAUUUGUCAGAACUGGUUUGUAAACACUUUUAUUACUAAUGGCUGAGUGCUAAAUUAUAACUUUCACUUUCUUUACUCUAGUAUAACAUUCCUCUCUUAUCUGCUUAUUCUUUGAAGGAAAAAAAAAUCCACUAAAAGGAGUUACUCAGACUUCCCCUCCUUCUUAUUUCUAGCAGCUCCUGUGAAGUUGUACUGUUUUUUACCAGCUGUGUAUCUAUAGCUUUUCAAACUUCAGUUUGAGAAUCAAGUGUAAAGACGAGAACUCUGAGAGCUGUGUUAAAACAUCUAUUUAUGAAUCUAUGAAGUCAGCCUUUCAGGAGGAGGAUGGAGGAAGGGUCUUUCUUCUUAACCAAUAGUGACCAGGAAGAUUUAUGUCCCCAAAACAACAUGCCUUGAAAACACACACAAAAAAUAUGUGCUUCAAUAAAAUACAAAAAAUAUAUUCUGCACGCAAUACUUGUGUUGGAUCUAAGUGGUAGACACUGUCCAUUAAAAAUAAAGAGAGUAAAAAUAAGGGGUGAAGAACUGAAGAGAUGUAAUAAUACUUAUCGUUAUCUACCCUCAGACAGAUAUAAAAAAAUUUAGAUGUUUCAUUUCUCCAGACUUCGACAGGUGAGAAAGUACAGCUCAGAGCUGUCAUUCCAGUUCUGCAAUAGGUAAAAUGAUAGAUCAAGAAACAGAUCCCAGAUGUUAUUUGUGUAAUGAGCAUUUGAUCUGCUUAGCCACAACGCCUCUGUGGAAGAUAAAUAUUAAUCUUCACUAAAUCAUACAGAAACUGCCCAUUGCACGGUCCCUUGCAUGGUGUAAUCAGAGUCAUCACCACAAAAUGAAAAUAUAUUUUCUUUGUUCAUGACUCCUAGGAUAUAGAUAAUUAAU